ACUCCUGCGGGAGGCAGCAGUGGGGAAUAUUGGACACUGGGCGCAAGCCUGAUCCAGCCAUGCCGCGUGAGUGAUGAAGGCCCUAGGGUUGUAAAGCUCUUUCACCGGUGAAGAUAAUGACGGUAACCGGAGAAGAAGCCCCGGCUAACUUCGUGCCAGCAGCCGCGGUAAUACGAAGGGGGCUAGCGUUGUUCGGAUUUACUGGGCGUAAAGCGCACGUAGGCGGACUAUUAAGUCAGGGGUGAAAUCCCGGGGCUCAACCCCGGAACUGCCUUUGAUACUGGUAGUCUUGAGUUCGAGAGAGGUGAGUGGAAUUCCGAGUGUAGAGGUGAAAUUCGUAGAUAUUCGGAGGAACACCAGUGGCGAAGGCGGCUCACUGGCUCGAUACUGACGCUGAGGUGCGAAAGCGUGGGGAGCAAACAGGAUUAGAAACCCGGGUAGUCCCAUG
rnacentral:rRNA from 1 species